rnacentral:rRNA from 1 species
GAUGAACGCUGGCGGCGUGCUUAACACAUGCAAGUCGAGCGAUGAAGUUUCCUUCGGGAAACAGAUUAGCGGCGGACGGGUGAGUAACACGUGGGUAACCUGCCUCAUAGAAUGGAAUAGCCUUCCGAAAGGAAGAUUAAUACCGCAUAACGUUGAAAGAUGGCAUCAUCAUUCAACCAAAGGAGCAAUCCGCUACGAGAUGGACCCGCGGCGCAUUAGCUAGUUGGUGGGGUAACGGCCUACCAAGGCGACGAUGGGUAGCCGACCUGAGAGGGUGAUCGGCCACAUUGGGACUGAGACACGGGCCAGACUCCUACGGGAGGCAGCAGUGGGGAAUAUUGCACAAUGGGGGAAACCCUGAUGCAGCAACGCCGCGUGAGUGAUGAAGGUUUUCGGAUCGUAAAGCUCUGUCUUUGGGGAAGAUAAUGACGGUACCCAAGGAGGAAGCCACGGCUAACUACGUGCCAGCAGCCGCAGUAACAC